CCUACGGGAGGCAGCAGUGAGGAAUAUUGCACAAUGGGAGAGAUCCUGAUGCAGCAACGCCGCGUGAGCGAUGAAGGCCUUAGGGUCGUAAAGCCCUGUCCUCAGGGAAACUAAACCCGGGACUUGAGGAGGACUCCCCGGCUCACUAGGUGCCAGCAGCCGCGGUAAUACGUAGGCGGCUAGCGUUAUCCGGAUUUACUGGGCGUAAAGGGUGCGUAGGUGGUUUGUUAAGUCAGAGGUGAAAGGCUACGGCUCAACCGUAGUAAGCCUGUGAAACUGGCAGACUUGAGUGCAGGAGAGGAGCGCGGAAUUCCUGGUGUAGCGGUGAAAUGCGUAGAUAUUAGGAGGAACUCCAGUUGCGAAGGCGGCGCUCUGGACUGUAACUGACACUGAGGCACGAAAGCGUGGGGAGCAAACAGGAUUAGAUACCCGUGUAGUC
rnacentral:rRNA from 1 species